CUAUACUCUUUCUGUGCUCCAGACCUGUGGAAACAGACAAGGUGACCAGAGAAAGAGGUGAAAAAGGACAGACACUGGUGUUUUGGUUGAUUGAUGAGGCAGUGGAGGCGGGAUGUGGGUCCUCAUCUGGGCAGCUCUACUCUUCUCUCUGAGAGAGAGAGCAACAUGUCAAAGUAGGGUCCCUUUUAUCAUUAAAGUAUUGUCAACAUUGAAAUCAUUAGUAUUUGUACAGAUGUGGUAUUUGUAAUGGUAAGACCCAUUUUAAUCUAAACUGAUUCUGUAUCAUCACAAAUGUUACGGACAUGUGAAGUAGUAUCCAAGUGUGUCCUGUAUUACUCAUAACUAUUCAUUUCCCUCCAUUAAGACAGGCCCCCCCAGCAGCAGCUGCAAACACAUACAGCAUCACCUUCAUUCCAGAAAAAAAUAACUGUAGUGACUGUAGGUAAUGUUAUUUCAUGUACUUUCAAUCACCCUGAUAGUGUCAAGCCUACCGCAGCAAUAUGGUACAAAUGCACAAAUGCCCUACAAAUGGCAACUGUGAUAAGGAUAAACAUAUCAUUUUCCAUUCCAAAGAUCUCUCUAAAGCAAGGGGAGGGUAAAAACAGAGUGUCUCUACUGGAGACAGACCUGACAAAGAAGAACUGUAAUGUGAUCGUCAAUGAUGUCAGAGAGAAUGACACUGGAGAGUAUCAACUCAGAAUGAAAGGAGGACCAUUUACAUACCUAGAGAAAAUGAAAGUCACAGCGACAGGUACAGCAUGGCUAUUGCUGUCAGUUAUUUUGUACACUGACUGUAACAUACAGAUGCAUACCUCCAAUUCAUACAUUUCAAGAUUACCCUCCCCAAGUCUCCUUUUCCAAAGUCAGAUUUUUUUCUAAACAACGGUGGAAUUUUAUGGGCUUUAUUUGGAGAAGUUUAACAGGGUUAGCGUAGUUAGGAUUCUGUCACACUGCGUCUGAUUCUGUUUCUCUGAUGUCUGGUACACAGAUAUGAAAUUAACAUCUGAGUUUGUAUUUCCUGUGUCCAGCUCUGACCCAAGAGGCCUCUGUGUUUACUCCUGCUCUGACAGAGGGAGAACCAGCUUCUCUGACCUGCACCGCCCCGGGGAUCUGUUCUGGAACUCCUCCUAACAUCACAUGGACAUGGAGAGGGACAGGAGACAACAUCACUGAGCUCCGAGAAAACACCACCAUACAGGAGAAAGAGGAACUGACUUGCGUCACAACAACCCACUUCUCAAAUUUCACCCUUACCCCAUAAGCAUCAAGAUCACAUGUCUGGUGACCUUCAAUGGCAUCAUCGCAACCAAGAAGACACUGAAAUUGAGUGUGGCACACGCAAAGAGAGGACCCCAGACUCCAAAAGCCCUUUUAUGAACCUGGAGUUGGUGACUUGAAGACCAACAGACAGAUGCAGGACAGGCUGUGGGGGGCAAACAGACACCUCUGCAAGUGGAGCUGAGGGAGGGAGCUGGAAAUGGAGGGCCCCAGACCAGUGGAGCUGCGGGACACUGUCACAGGGGAAGAACCAAAAGAGGUGGCCUACGCCAGUAUCAACUACUCCCUACUGAAGAAGAAGACUCCUGAGCAGGCAGAGAAGAAGACCACCAACACAGAGUCAGACUACGCUGAAAUCAAACGAGAGAAGAAGAAUGAGGGGGAGGGCAGUGGCGUGCUGGAUCCGGAAGAAGAGGAGGAAGGGGAAGAGAUGAUGGGGAAGUAGCAAGGGGACGGUAAGCCAGUACAAGAGACAGAUGAGGAUGCGGUGCUUUACUCCAACGUCAAGGCUAUUAUGGGUGGAGAGUGACACAGCAAUUUGUCUAGAAAAAGUUGUGGAUAGCACACAGUACUAUGGCUUCUAUUAUACACCCAUGUGGUGUUCUCAUUUUUUGAAUCCAGAUGUAAUAUUUUAUGAGGCUGGGACUUUUGUUCAAACGUAACUGCUGUAGUUUAUAGUGUUGGUGUUGUUUGCUCAUGAGCUGAUUGCAGUUUGAAUGUUUUAUGAUGAUACAGAGACUUUGUUAAACGGAAACUACUGUAGGUAAUAGUUUUGGUAAUGCUUUAUUUUCCAGCCCUUUGUCACCCGAUACCUAGUGGUUGUAAUGUUUAAUACGAUUUGUUGCUGGUUGCACAUAGAAACAAGUAUUUUUAUGUUUGUCUCGUAAAUGUUUAUGGAAGUUAAUGUAAUAUUACUUUUGAAGUUAUUCUGUUUUUGUGUCAUCAUGGGGAAAGACUGACAAAGACGUGGUUUGGAGAAGAGCAGUCAAACCAUUUCUCGUUUUUCUCCUCUGUCCUUUCAUGUUUUUGCAUUUUGAUUUAAACCUAAACCUAUAUAUUGAGUCACUACCUUACUUUUGAUUGUUGUGUGUAUUUUAGUUGUUUGUUACCUAAAAUUUGUUCAAAGAAUUUAUAAAUUAUGUUUAAAAUAAAAUAUGUUUUAACUGUCUUGUAGCAUGAUAUACUACAGUAGCCAUACUGCUCUGUAUCAAAAUAUGGUUUUAUCUUGGUAA